GGAGAAGGUGCUUCGGGCACGACGACGGUCCAAGUCCCUUGGAAUAGGGCGUCGCAGAGGGUGAGAAUCCCGUACGCGAUCGAUCGUCAAGCCCGUGCGAAGCCCUUUCGACGAGUCGAGUUGUUUGGGAAUGCAGCUCAAAAUGGGUGGUAAAUUUCAUCUAAGGCUAAAUACCUGCCGGAGACCGAUAGCGCACAAGUAGAGUGAUCGAAAGAUGAAAAGCACUUUGAAAAGAGAGUAAAAAAGUACGUGAAAUUGUUGAAAGGGAAGCGCUUGCAACCAGACUCGUUCGCGGGUGCUCAGCCGUCCCUCGGGGCGGUGCAUUCCCCCGCGAUCGGGCCAGCAUCGGUUUUGGCGGCCGGAUAAAGGCCUCGGGAACGUAACUCUCUCCGGGGAGUGUUAUAGCCCGAGGUGUAAUGCGGCCCGCCGGGAUCGAGGAUCGCGCGCUCGCUAGGAUGCUGGCGUAAUGGUUGCCAGCGACCCGUCUUGAAACACGGACCAAGGAGUCGACCAACCGCGCGAGUGUUUGGGCAUCAAACCCGUAACGCGUAAUGAAAGUGAAUGGAGGUGGGAGCCUUCGGGCGUACCAUCGACCGAUCCUGAUGUCCUCGGAUGGAUUUGAGUAUGAGCCCGGUUGUUCGGACCCGAAAGAUGGUGAACUAUACGCGGGUAGAAUGAAGCCAGAGGAAACUCUGGUGGAAGUUCGCAGCGGUUCUGACGUGCAAAUCGAUCGUCAAACCUACGUAUAGGGGCGAAAGACUUAUCGAACCUUCUAGUAGCUGGUUCCUGUCGAAGUUUCCCUCAGGAUAGCAGCAACGGGAACAGUCUCAUGAGGUAGAGCAAACGAUUAGAGGCCUUGGGGUUGAAACAGCCUUAACCUAUUCUCGAACUCCGAAUAUGUGAGAAGUCC
rnacentral:rRNA from 2 species